rnacentral:rRNA from 1 species
AUACGGAGGAUCCGAGCGUUAUCCGGAUUUAUUGGGUUUAAAGGGAGCGUAGGCGGAUUAUUAAGUCAGUUGUGAAAGUUUGCGGCUCAACCGUAAAAUUGCAGUUGAUACUGGUAGUCUUGAGUGCAGCAGAGGUAGGCGGAAUUCGUGGUGUAGCGGUGAAAUGCUUAGAUAUCACGAAGAACUCCGAUUGCGAAGGCAGCUUACUGGACUGUAACUGACGCUGAUGCUCGAAAGUGUGGGUAUCAAACAGGAUUAGAUACCCUGGUAGUCCACACAGUAAACGAUGAAUACUCGCUGUUUGCGAUAUACGGCAAGCGGCCAAGCGAAAGCAUUAAGUAUUCCACCUGGGGAGUACGCCGGCAACGGUGAAACUCAAAGGAAUUGACGGGG